GAAUUAAAUCAAACUCACCAAUAAUCUUCAAUAGAAGCAAAUUUGGGGGAACUAAGUGUUUCUUAAGUAUAUCCUGAUAAAACAAACUAUUUGUGACUUACUAAUAGCCUAGCAUUGAGGAAUAAUUAGUUGAAACGCCAUAAAAGUAGUGAAGCUUUAAACAAGUAGCUAUUGAAACCCUUAUGCCUUGAAAGAAUGUAGUUAGUAUAAAGGAUUGAAGGAGUUCAAUUAUAUGCAUAUUUA
rnacentral:misc_RNA from 1 species